CCUACGGGAGGCAGCAGUGGGGAAUAUUGGACAAUGGGCGCAAGCCUGAUCCAGCCAUGCCGCGUGAGUGAUGAAGGCCCUAGGGUUGUAAAGCUCUUUCACCGGUGAAGAUAAUGACGGUAACCGGAGAAGAAGCCCCGGCUAACUUCGUGCCAGCAGCCGCGGUAAUACGAAGGGGGCUAGCGUUGUUCGGAUUUACUGGGCGUAAAGCGCACGUAGGCGGACUUUUAAGUCAGGGGUGAAAUCCCGGGGCUCAACCCCGGAACUGCCUUUGAUACUGGAAGUCUUGAGUAUGGAAGAGGUAAGUGGAAUUGCGAGUGUAGAGGUGAAAUUCGUAGAUAUUCGCAGGAACACCAGUGGCGAAGGCGGCUUACUGGUCCAUUACUGACGCUGAGGUGCGAAAGCGUGGGGAGCAAACAGGAUUAGAUACCCCAGUAGUC
rnacentral:rRNA from 1 species